rnacentral:tRNA from 1 species
AGUAGCGCAGUGGUCUAAGGCGCAGCAGUCUACAUCUCACUGUAAGAGAAGUCACUGUAGUCCCUGGUUCAAAUCCAGGCU